UACGUAGGGUGCAAGCGUUAUCCGGAAUUAUUGGGCGUAAAGAGCUCGUAGGCGGUUUGUCGCGUCUGCUGUGAAAACGCGAGGCUCAACCUCGCGCCUGCAGUGGGUACGGGCAGACUAGAGUGCGGUAGGGGAGAUUGGAAUUCCUGGUGUAGCGGUGGAAUGCGCAGAUAUCAGGAGGAACACCUGCGGUGUAGACGGCUUACUGGACGGUAACUGACGCUGAGGCACGAAAGCGUGGGUAGCAAACAGG
rnacentral:rRNA from 1 species